rnacentral:lncRNA from 1 species
AGAAUUGAGUGGAGGCUACAAGGGUAGAAGCCAGUCUUCUCUGAAUAUACCUUGUUUUAUAGAUUUGGCUUUGGAAUCACAAAUAUUUUAAACAAUUAUGAAAUUAAAUUAGAAAAAGCAAUCCCUAAAGCAUAAAGCAAACGUACUGCAUACUGAAUUGGAAAGAGAAUCACACAAAGGACUAUUUUAAGUGACUUUUUUUUUUUUAACAUAGAGACGAGGUCUCACCAUGUUGUCCAGGCUGGUCUUGAACUCCUGGGCUCAAAGCAAUCGCCCGCCUCAGCCUCCUGAAGUGCUGGGAUUACAGGUGUAAGCCACUGUGCCUGGCCCUUCAAGUGACUUUAACUGGAAAUCCUAAUAGGGUAUAUUCUAAAGAUAAGAACUCAAGAAAAUCUGCAGUUUUUUCAGAACUCAUACUUGGGACUGGUGUCUAAAGGGGGUGUCGGGGGGGUGCUGUCUUACGGGUUGAGCCCUCAACCUGUGAGAUCUGUUGCUGUCUCCAGGAAGACAGUCAGAAAUAAAUGUGAGAAUACCCAAGCACUUUGGGAGGCUAAGGCAGGUGGAUCACUUGAAGUCAGGAGUUCAAGACCAGCCUGGCCAACAUGGCGAAACCCUGUCUCUAUUAAAAAUACAAAAAUUAGCCAGGCGUGGUGGCAGGCACCUGUAAUCACAGCUACUCGGGAGGUUGAGGCAGGAGAAUCGCUUGAACCUGGGAGAAGGCGGUUGCAGUGAGCUGAGAUCACGCCAUCACACUCCAGCCUGGACGACAAGAGCAAAACUCCGUCUAAAAAAAUAUAUACAAAAAUUAGCUGGGCAUGGUGGCACAUGCCUAUAAUCCUAGCUACUUGGGGAAUCACUUAAGCCCAGGAGGCAGAGGUUGCAGUGAGCUGAGUUCAUGCCACUGUGCUCCAGCCUGGGUAACAGAGCGAGACUCUGUCUCCAAAAAAAAAAGGGGAGAAGGGUAAAGGUUGAAAAAACUACCUAUCCAGGUACCAUGUUCAUUACUUGGGUGAUAAGAUCAUUCAUAUCCCAAACCUCAGGUGACAUGAAAUUUACACAUGUAACAAACCUGUACAUUCCAAAAUCAUAAGAAAGAAAGAAAGAAAGAAAGAAAGAAAGAAAGAAAGAAAGAAAGAAAGAAAGAAAGAAAGAACCCUGCACAUGUACCUCCUGAACCUAAAAUAAAAGUUGAAUAAGAAUGGCUAUGAGGACAAGCAUGAUGGCUCACGCCCAUGUAAUCCUAACACUUUGGGAGGGCGAGGCGGGAGGAUCACUUGAGGUCAGGAGUUUGAGACCAGCCUGGCCAACAUGUGAAACCCUGUCUCUACUAAAAACACAAAAAUUAGUCAGGCAUCAUGGCACACACCUGUAAUCCCAGGUACUCAGGAGGCUGAGGUAGGAGAAUCACUUGAACCCGGGAGGCGGAGGUUGCAGUGAGCCGAGAUCGUACCACUGCACUACAGCCUGGGCGACAGAGUGAAAUUCCGUCUCAAAAAAGAAAAAGAAAAAAAAGGCAAUGAACUCAAACAUAUCAAAUAUGGUUAAGUUCUUGAAUUUAUACUGAUUUUCUUUUCUUUUUUUUUUUUUUUUUUUUUUGGAGACAGAGUUUCACUCUUGUUGCCCAGGCUGGAGUGCAAUGGCGCAAUCUCGGCUCACCGUAACCUCUGCCUCCCAGGUUCAAGCGAUGCCUCCUGCCUCAGCCUCCCAAGUAGCUGGGAUUACAGGCAUACACUGCCACACCCAACUAAUUUGGGUUUCUCCAUGUUGGUCAGGCUGGUCUCAAACUCCCAACCUUAGGAGUCUGCCCGCCUUGGCCUCCUUGGGAUUAGAGGCAUGAGGCCACCACACCCGGCCUGAUUUUCUUUUUCUAAGAAACAGUCUUGCUAGGUUGCUCAGGCUGGAGUGCAGUGGCUAUUCACAGACACGAUCCACAUGUCUACUGCAUCACACUAAGGACUCUUAAGGAGUAGGGAUGGAGACUUUCCUGCUACCUUUUGUUGAGUACAGACCCUGGCACACAUAGACAUUAAACGUAAAUGAUUAGCUGGGCAUGGUGGCAUGCGCCUGUAAUCCCAGCUACCUGGGAGGCUGAGGCACAAGAAUUGCUUGAACCUGGGAGGCAAAGGUUGCAGUGAGCCAAGACUGCGCCACUGUGCUCCAGCCUGGACAAGAGAGAAAUUCUGUCUCAAAAUAAAAAAAUUAAAUUAAAUUAAAAAAUAGACUGAAAGAAUGAUUUCCUAUUACCCAAGCUGGAAAGGACCAAAGGCCACAUCCCCCUUCUGGUGUAUGUCUUCUCAUCAGUUCACAUCUGGCCCCUAAUUUCAGUAGAAUUAUAUAUAAUAGGAAUAUAAAACUAUUCUGUCACUAACUGGUAUACUUCCAUACAAUUCUGAUGCUAACACUAGGUGGUUAACAUCAGACUCUAGAAGUUAAAAGGCAAGAUGCCCAACAAGACUGCCCUUACUUCAGAUGGUAGUUAUACUUUGGGGAUCCCAGGCCACCUGUACUUCUAACCAACUCAUUACAAAUUCAGGGAUUCCAGCAGGGCAUGGUGACUCCCAGCACUGAGAGGCUAAGGCAGCACGAUCACUGGAGCCCAGGAGUUUGAGAUCGGCCCGGGCAACAUAGAGAGACCCCCAUCUCUAUGAAUAAUUUUUUAAAAUUAGCCAGGUGUGGUGCCACGCACCUCUGGUUCUAGCUACUAGGGAGGCUGAGGUAGGAGGAUUGCCUGAGCCCGGGAGGUCAAGGCUGCAGUGAGCUAUGAUCGCACCACUGCAUUCCAGCCUGGGUGACAGAAGAAGACCCUUGUCUCAAAAAAAUUCAGGGGUUCCCAUGACCCCUCUGGUUCAAUAUUCACUAGAACUCACAGAACUCAGAAAAGCACUGUAUUUACAAUUAUAGUUUUAUUAUAAAGGAUACAAAUUUGGGCCAGUGAAAUGAAGAGACAUACGGCAAGGUCUGUAAGGGUCCUGAACACAAACUUCUGUCCCCUUUCCCCAUGGAAUCACCCUCCCAGCCCAUCAAUGGAUUUACCUACCAGGAUGAUCCACCAAUUUUGUGUUGAGAGUUUUUACUGGCGUUUCCUAACAUAGACACGAUUGAAUCAUUGGCCACAUAACUAAACUCAACCUCCAGCCCCCUUUCUCUCCCCAGAGAUUAGACUUCCUCAAGCAUCAGCCCUCCUAUCACAUGGUUGGUCUUUCUGGUGACCAGCCCCCAUCCUGAAUCAUCUCAUUAACAUAAACUCAGUUAUGAUCCAAAAGGCUCAUGAAUAACAAAGAAAGAUACUUCUAUCACUUGGAAAAUUCCAAAGGUUUUAGACACAUUAUGCCAGGAACCCCAGGAAAAAGGCUAGUCACAUUCUUUAUUAUACACCAAAAAACAAACUUAAAACUCUCUACUCCAGGUGAAUAGGGUUGUAAAUUUAAAAAAAAAAAAACAAAGUAAACUUAAAAAAACCUCUCAACUUACAAAAAUAAAGAUAAACAUAGAAAAAGAUAUCCAAGGCCACUGAUGCCCACUCAUUUUAGGGGCACUAAACUCCACUCUGAAGUAAGAGCAGUCUUGCUGAAAAUUAUUAGGAUUUCAGAUACCACUUAUCUACUAACCAUUUUUAAAAUUUGGUGUGCAUUAAAGUUAACCAUAUCCAGAAUUCUCUGAUGAUGGCUACAAAAAAAGCCCUGGAGUACCGCCAACAACAUAGGGCUUCUUUUUUUUGGGCUGAGAAACCAACCCUCUAUUAUACUCAGGGGAUUACCAUUUUAUAAUGUAAUCCCUCAUUAAUCAAAACAUCAUUAUGCAGUGCAAGACUGUAUAACAUUGCAAACUGAACAAUAACUCUCUAGCCACUGGUUUAUCCAAAAUAUCUUUUUUUUUUUUUUUUUUUUAGAGACAGAGUCUUGCUCUUAUCCAGGCUAGAGUGCAAUGGCAUGAUCACGGCUCACUGUAGCAUUGACCUGCUGGGCUCAAGUUAUCUUCCCACCUCAGCCUCUCUAGUAGCUACAACUAUAGGCGUGCAUCACCACACCUGGCUAUUAUAUUUUUUGU